CUUACUUAUUUUAUGGUUAUUGAAAAAUUUUACUUUGCCAUUCCUUUUGAUAGUAGAUUUUUUAAAUAAAAAUAGAGAUAAAACUAUUGAAUAAUUGUGUGUAAGUUUAUUAAUUAUAAGAUGGUAAACUGAGAACGAAAUAAAUCACACAGGGGCAAAUUGAAGUUCACACACUAAAAAGUAAAUUGAUUAGUUAAGAAAAUAUAUCGACAAUAUUUUGAAGUUUGAAAGAAUGUGUACAUUUUCUUAAAAAGUUUAUAAGGAUGUAGGAGUUGUUUGAAUUAGUUAUAUUCGAGCAAUUAUAAUAGAUUUUAAGUUUAAAA
rnacentral:lncRNA from 1 species